AUGCGAGGCAUCACCUUGAGGCUAUGCAUUGUACAUGCCCUUAAUUCUGGUACUUACAGCUCGAGCGGGAUUUUGGCAUGCCAAAAUGGGAGCAGUUCAAGGAAGCUUGCCGCGUUCAGUUUGGGCCGUCACUCCACACCAAUCCCUUGGGCGAGUAGGCACAACUGCCAUUCACUUCCUCGACUAGUGCUCAUGUGCCACAACAAUGAGCCAUUAACACCGUCCCAACAACUGUUUCUGUGCACAGUAGGUCUGCCCUAUGGUCUUCGCAUUGACAUCAAGCUUCAGCUUCCAUCUGACCUCCACACCGCCUUCUCCCUCGCCAAGGCCUAUGAGCAGCAGCGUUCCCUCCAACAACGUCACCGCACCAGCCUUCUGGUCCUACAGGGCACUUUUGCCCCUCCGAUCUUCCUGCGGUCUAUACAUCUACAAUACCUUCCCCACCAGCGCCACUAG
rnacentral:rRNA from 1 species